GACGAACGCUGGCGGCGUGCUUAACACAUGCAAGUCGAACGAUGAAGCCCAGCUUGCUGGGUGGAUUAGUGGCGAACGGGUGAGUAACACGUGGGCAACCUGCCCCAAACUCUGGGAUAACUCCUCGAAAGAGGUGCUAAUACCGGAUACGAACUAGGUAGACAUCUGCACUAGUUGGAAAGUUUUUCGGUUUGGGAUGGGCCCGCGGCCUAUCAGCUUGUUGGUGAGGUAACGGCUCACCAAGGCUACGACGGGUAACCGGCCUGAGAGGGCGACCGGUCACACUGGGACUGAGACACGGCCCAGACUCCUACGGGAGGCAGCAGUGGGGAAUAUUGCGCGAUGGGCGAAAGCCUGACGCAGCGACGCCGCGUGAGGGAUGAAGGUCUUCGGAUCAUAAGCCUCUUUCAGUAGGGACGAAGCGAAAGUGACGGUACCUAAAGAAGAAGCACCGGCUAACUACGUGCCAGCCGCCGCAGUAA
rnacentral:rRNA from 1 species